UACGGGGGGGGCAAGCGUUGUUCGGAAUUACUGGGCGUAAAGGGCUCGUAGGUGGCCAACUAAGUCAGACGUGAAAUCCCUCGGCUUAACCGGGGAACUGCGUCUGAUACUGGAUGGCUUGAGUUUGGGAGAGGGACGCGGAAUUCCAGGUGUAGCGGUGAAAUUCGUAGAUAUCAAGCGGAACACCGGUGGCGAAGGCGGCCUUCUGGACAGUGACUGACGCUGAGACGCGAAAGCGUGGGGAGCAAACAGG
rnacentral:rRNA from 1 species